AGACAGGUGCUGCAUGGCUGUCGUCAGCUCGUGUUGUGAAAUGUUGGGUUAAGUCCCGCAACGAGCGCAACCCUUAUCCUUUGUUGCCAGCGCGUGAUGGCGGGAACUCAAAGGAGACUGCCGGUGAUAAACCGGAGGAAGGUGGGGAUGACGUCAAGUCAUCAUGGCCCUUACGAGUAGGGCUACACACGUGCUACAAUGGCGUAUACAAAGGGAAGCGACCCCGCGAGGGCAAGCGGAACUCAUAAAGUACGUCGUAGUCCGGAUUGGAGUCUGCAACUCGACUCCAUGAAGUCGGAAUCGCUAGUAAUCGUAGAUCAGAAUGCUACGGUGAAUACGUUCCCGGGCCUUGUACACACCGCCCGUCACACCAUGGGAGUGGGUUGCAAAAGAAGUAGGUAGCUUAACCUCCGGGAGGGCGCUUACCACUUUGUGAUUCAUGACUGGGGUGAAGUCGUAACAAGGUAACCGUAGGGGAACCUGCGG
rnacentral:rRNA from 1 species